rnacentral:tRNA from 1 species
GCUUUUAAUGGAGAACAGUUUUCCUCUGGUUUUAGGGACCAGCCAAUCUUGGUGCAAAUCCAAGUAAAAGCU